UACGUAGGGGGCGAGCGUUGUCCGGAUUUACUGGGCGUAAAGCGCGCGUAGGCGGUGACUCAAGUCGGAUGUGAAAGCCCUUGGCUUAACCGAGGAAGUGCAUCCGAAACUGAGUCGCUAGAGUACGAUAGAGGGUCGCGGAAUUCCCGGUGUAGAGGUGAAAUUCGUAGAUAUCGGGAGGAACACCAAUUGCGAAGGCAGCUCGCUGGGACGUUACUGACGCUGAGACGCGAAAGCGUGGGGAGCAAACAGG
rnacentral:rRNA from 1 species